rnacentral:rRNA from 1 species
UACAGAGGUGGCAAGCGUUGUUCGGAAUUACUGGGCGUAAAGGGCGCGUAGGCGGUCCGUUAAGUCCCGUGUGAAAGCCCCCGGCUCAACUGGGGAACUGCACGGGAAACUGACGGACUUGAGUUCGGGAGAGGGAAGCGGAAUUCCGGGUGUAGCGGUGAAAUGCGUAGAUAUCCGGAGGAACACCGGUGGCGAAGGCGGCUUCCUGGACCGACACUGACGCUGAGGCGCGAAAGCGUGGGGAGCAAACAGG